rnacentral:rRNA from 1 species
AUACGUAGGGGGCGAGCGUUGUCCGGAAUGAUUGGGCGUAAAGGGCGCGUAGGCGGCCCGGUAAGUCUGGAGUGAAAGUCCUGUUUUUAAGAUGGGAAUUGCUUUGGAUACUGUCGGGCUUGAGUGCAGGAGAGGUAAGUGGAAUUCCCAGUGUAGCGGUGAAAUGGGUAGAGAUUGGGAGGAACACCAGUGGCGAAGGCGACUUACGGGACUGUAACUGACGCUGAGGCGCGAAAGUGUGGGGAGCAAACAGGAUUAGAUACCCUGGUAGUCCACACUGUAAAUGAUGAAUGCUAGGUGUAGGGGGUAUCGACCCCUUCUGUGCCGCAGUCAACACAAUAAGCAUUCCGCCUGGGGAGUACGGCCGCAAGGUUGAAACUCAAAUGAAUUGGCGGGG